GAGAGAACAAAGUCCCUCAACGUUGGUAUUUUUUUUCCAUCUUCACAAAUGAAACUGACAGCUGGUGUCAAUUUGGAAGAACAAGAGUUGUUUUUGAUUCAGUGGCUGGAAAAUGGAACUGCCAAUGCAAGGGAAGUGGAAAAUCCCAUCGUUGCAUUCACAGAAUGAUGGCAAUGUGGUGGAUUUACCAGGAGUCACCAAACACUGUGAUGAUGCAGUCUGAUGUGCAGAUUGAUGAUAUAGAAGACUUAGAAACUCACAUGCUAGACAGUACCAUAUAUUCUGCAGAGCAAAAAAUGACCACACAAAAAAUAUGUUCAAUGACUCUACAUAUAUACACAUAAGCGUAUCCCUUGCCUACAGGACUUACCAAUAAAAUUAAGAACAUGUGAGGAAGUGCCACCACCAUGCUUUUUGCCUUCUGAAAGCACCUGUCCAUACUGUCCAGGACCUACCCCUCCAGAGCUUAGUCCAUCCAAGAUAGUCACCUCACAAGCCACGGUUUAUGGCAUUAGUUAUGUCAAAAAAGGUAUCUCAGUUGCCGAAAAAGAAUGCCCAGUUUGUUGUAACAUUGUGAGAUUCCAAGACUAUACUUCAGGUUUUCACAAUUUCAACAACAAUGUCCUUCUUACGCUUCCUUUGUAACAAGUCAACAAGUGGACGGAUGUUGGAGACAUUAUCCUUCUUUAAUGACAACAGAUACCAUCAUCAAACUG